rnacentral:lncRNA from 1 species
GCCCCGGUUAUGCAAGCGGCUUUGGAAGCCAGACAAAAUUACAGCGGGAAGAAAUCGUUGCACGGCUCUGGUGGGAAAAAGAUAUUAUCCUGCGUUGCCAGCGAGACUGGCCGUCGGCAGAGGUGUUCCAGGAUGGGAAUAUUCACAGUCCUGUGUUAUCCAGUGUCAGCAGAGGGAUGGGAACACCUCGGACUGAGGUAGUUCUUCACCUUUUCAGGGUGGCAAGAAUAGCAGCAGUGAGAGAUUUAUCCUUGGGGAGGGGAGGAUGCAGGGGGAUCCAACAGCAGCCAUGCAGUACCUAUGAGGAGGUUAUUGAGAAGACAGCCAGACUCUUCAGAGCAGUGUAUGGUGAGAGGAAGAGAGACAACAGGUAUUAGUCUGAGGACUGUAGAGUUCCCUGGGCU